rnacentral:rRNA from 1 species
UACGUAGGUGGCGAGCGUUGUCCGGAUUUACUGGGCGUAAAGGGCGCGUAGGCGGCCUGCUAAGUCGGAUGUGAAAUCCCUCGGCUCAACCGAGGAACUGCAUCCGAUACUGGCGGGCUUGAAUCCGGGAGAGGGAUGUGGAAUUCCAGGUGUAGCGGUGAAAUGCGUAGAUAUCUGGAGGAACACCGGUGGCGAAGGCGGCAUCCUGGACCGGUAUUGACGCUGAGGCGCGAAAGCGUGGGGAGCAAACAGG